ACUAUCGUUAACUGAAUACAUAGGUUAACGAGGCGAACCGGGGGAACUGAAACAUCUAAGUACCCCGAGGAAAAGAAAUCAACCGAGAUUCCCCCAGUAGCGGCGAGCGAACGGGGAGCAGCCCAGAGUCUGAAUCAGCUUGUGUGUUAGUGGAACGGUCUGGAAAGUCCGACGGUACAGGGUGAUAGUCCCGUACACCAAAAUGCACAGGCUGUGAACUCGAAGAGUAGGGCGGGACACGUGGUAUCCUGUCUGAAUAUGGGGGGACCAUCCUCCAAGGCUAAAUACUCCUGACUGACCGAUAGUGAACCAGUACCGUGAGGGAAAGGCGAAAAGAACCCCGGCGAGGGGAGUGAAAAAGAACCUGAAACCGUGUACGUACAAGCAGUGGGAGCACCUUCGGGUGUGACUGCGUACCUUUUGUAUAAUGGGUCAGCGACUUAUAUUCUGUAGCAAGGUUAACCGUAUAGGGGAGCCGCAGGGAAACCGAGUCUUAACUGGGCGUUAAGUUGCAGGGUAUAGACCCGAAACCCGGUGAUCUAGCCAUGGGCAGGUUGAAGGUUGGGUAACACUAACUGGAGGACCGAACCGACUAAUGUUGAAAAAUUAGCGGAUGACUUGUGGCUGGGGGUGAAAGGCCAAUCAAACCGGGAGAUAGCUGGUUCUCCCCGAAAGCUAUUUAGGUAGCGCCUCGUGAAUUCAUCUUCGGGGGUAGAGCACUGUUUCGGCUAGGGGGUCAUCCCGACUUACCAACCCGAUGCAAACUACGAAUACCGAAGAAUGUUAUCACGGGAGACACACGGCGGGUGCUAACGUCCGUCGUGAAGAGGGAAACAACCCAGACCGCCAGCUAAGGUCCCAAAGUCAUGGUUAAGUGGGAAACGAUGUGGGAAGGCACAGACAGCCAGGAUGUUGGCUUAGAAGCAGCCAUCAUUUAAAGAAAGCGUAAUAGCUCACUGGUCGAGUCGGCCUGCGCGGAAGAUGUAACGGGGCUAAACCAUGCACCGAAGCUGCGGCAGCGACACUAUGUGUUGUUGGGUAGGGGAGCGUUCUGUAAGCCUGCGAAGGUGUGCUGUGAGGCAUGCUGGAGGUAUCAGAAGUGCGAAUGCUGACAUAAGUAACGAUAAAGCGGGUGAAAAGCCCGCUCGCCGGAAGACCAAGGGUUCCUGUCCAACGUUAAUCGGGGCAGGGUGAGUCGACCCCUAAGGCGAGGCCGAAAGGCGUAGUCGAUGGGAAACAGGUUAAUAUUCCUGUACUUGGUGUUACUGCGAAGGGGGGACGGAGAAGGCUAUGUUAGCCGGGCGACGGUUGUCCCGGUUUAAGCAUGUAGGCUGAUUGUCCAGGCAAAUCCGGAUAAUCAAGGCUGAGGUGUGAUGACGAGGCACUACGGUGCUGAAGUAACAAAUGCCCUGCUUCCAGGAAAAGCCUCUAAGCAUCAGGUAACAUCAAAUCGUACCCCAAACCGACACAGGUGGUCAGGUAGAGAAUACCAAGGCGCUUGAGAGAACUCGGGUGAAGGAACUAGGCAAAAUGGUGCCGUAACUUCGGGAGAAGGCACGCUGGUGUGUAGGUGAAGUCCCUGCGGAUGGAGCUGAGACCAGUCGAAGAUACCAGCUGGCUGCAACUGUUUAUUAAAAACACAGCACUGUGCAAACACGAAAGUGGACGUAUACGGUGUGACGCCUGCCCGGUGCCGGAAGGUUAAUUGAUGGGGUUAUCCGUAAGGAGAAGCUCUUGAUCGAAGCCCCGGUAAACGGCGGCCGUAACUAUAACGGUCCUAAGGUAGCGAAAUUCCUUGUCGGGUAAGUUCCGACCUGCACGAAUGGCGUAAUGAUGGCCAGGCUGUCUCCACCCGAGACUCAGUGAAAUUGAACUCGCUGUGAAGAUGCAGUGUACCCGCGGCAAGACGGAAAGACCCCGUGAACCUUUACUAUAGCUUGACACUGAACAUUGAGCCUUGAUGUGUAGGAUAGGUGGGAGGCUUUGAAGCGUGGACGCCAGUCUGCGUGGAGCCAACCUUGAAAUACCACCCUUUAAUGUUUGAUGUUCUAACGUUGGCCCCUGACCGGGGUUGCGGACAGUGUCUGGUGGGUAGUUUGACUGGGGCGGUCUCCUCCCAAAGCGUAACGGAGGAGCACGAAGGUUAGCUAAUCCUGGUCGGACAUCAGGAGGUUAGUGCAAUGGCAUAAGCUAGCUUGACUGCGAGCGUGACGGCGCGAGCAGGUGCGAAAGCAGGUCAUAGUGAUCCGGUGGUUCUGAAUGGAAGGGCCAUCGCUCAACGGAUAAAAGGUACUCCGGGGAUAACAGGCUGAUACCGCCCAAGAGUUCAUAUCGACGGCGGUGUUUGGCACCUCGAUGUCGGCUCAUCACAUCCUGGGGCUGAAGUAGGUCCCAAGGGUAUGGCUGUUCGCCAUUUAAAGUGGUACGCGAGCUGGGUUUAGAACGUCGUGAGACAGUUCGGUCCCUAUCUGCCGUGGGCGCUGGAGAAUUGAGGGGGGCUGCUCCUAGUACGAGAGGACCGGAGUGGACGCAUCACUGGUGUUCGGGUUGUCAUGCCAAUGGCACUGCCCGGUAGCUAAAUGCGGAAGAGAUAAGUGCUGAAAGCAUCUAAGCACGAAACUUGCCCCGAGAUGAGUUCU
rnacentral:rRNA from 1 species